CAUGGCUUUUUGAUUAUAAUUUAAGGUCUGGUCUGCUCAAUGAGUAUUUAAAUUGCCGCGGUAUAUUGACCGUGCGAAGGUAGCAUAAUAAUUAGUUUUUUUAUUGAAAGCUGGGAUGAAUGAUUGGACGAGAAAAUUACUGUCUCUUUAUAAUUUUUUAUUUAAUUUAUCUUUUAAGUUAAAAGGCUUAAAUGUAUUUCAAAGACGAGAAGACCCUAUAGAGUUUUAUAAGAGCUUUUAUGUUAAGUUUGUGGUAUUUUUUAUUUUUUAUAAAUGUUUUUAUUUGGUUGGGGUGACUGGAAGGAUUUAUUAAACUCUUCUAAUUUAUUAAUCAUUUAUUUAUGACUAUAAAAUCUGAAGUUUUCAAGUUUAAGAUAAAUUACCUUAGGGAUAACAGCGUAAUUUCUUUUUAGAGUUCUUAUUGAAAGAGAAGUUUGCGACCUCGAUGUUGGAUUAAAAUUUAUUUUUGGUGAAGAAGCUAAAUAAUUGAGUCUGUUCGACUUUUAAAAUUUUACAUGAUCUGAGU
rnacentral:rRNA from 1 species